rnacentral:rRNA from 1 species
AGAGUUUGAUUCUGGCUCAGAACGAACGCUGGCAGCGUGGAUUAGGCAUGCAAGUCGAACGAGAAUUCGUUUCACCGCAAGGUGAGACGGAAGACAGAGGCGGAAGGGUGAGUAACGCGUGGGCAAUUUGCCGCAAAGUUGGGGAUAACCUGGCGAAAGCCGGACUAAUACCGAAUGUGGUUCUCUGGCGCAUGUUGGGGACACUGAAGGUGGGGACCCGAAAGGGCCUGUCGCUUUGCGAGAAGCCCGCGUCCUAUCAGCUUGUUGGUGAGGUAACGGCCCACCAAGGCUUACGGGUAGCUGGUCUGAGAGGAUGGUCUGCCACACUGGGACUGAGACACUGCCCAGACUCCUACGGGAGGCUGCAGUCGAGGAUCAUUCGCAAUGCGCGAAAGCGUGACGAUGCGACGCUGCGUGGAGGAUGAAGGCCUUCGGGUUGUAAACUCCUGUCAUUCGGGAACAAUAAUUCCGGGGAUAACAUUCCCGGGACUCGAUAGUACCGGAAGAGGAAGCCACGGCUAACUCUGUGCCAGCAGCCGCGGUAAUACAGAGGUGGCGAGCGUUGUUCGGAUUUACUGGGCGUAAAGGGUGUGUAGGCGGUAUUGCAAGUCAGGUGUGAAAGCUCACUGCUUAACGGUGAGAGUGCAUUUGAAACUGCAAGACUUUGGGUACAGGAGAGGAAAGCGGAAUUCUUGGUGUAGCGGUGGAAUGCGUUGAUAUCAAGAAGAACGCCAGCGGCGAAGGCGGCUUUCUGGAAUGUUACCGACGCUGAAACACGAAAGCUGGGGGAGCAAACAGGAUUAGAUACCCUGGUAGUCCCAGCCCUAAACGGUGUACACUUGGUGUGGGGAGAUUUGACCCUCUCCGUGCCGGAGCUAACGCAUUAAGUGUACCGCCUGGGGAGUACGACCGCAAGGUUAAAACUCAAAGAAAUUGACGGGGGCCCGCACAAGCGGAGGAGCAUGUGGCUCAAUUCGAUGCAACGCGAAGAACCUUACCAGGGCUUACAUGCAGCUGCACGCCUGUCGAAAGACAGGAAGCCUUCGAGGGUGCUGCACAGGUGCUGCAUGGCUGUCGUCAGUUCGUGCCGUGAGGUGUUGGGUUAAGUCCCGCAACGAACGCAACCCUUGUGUCUAGUUGCCAAUGCAGGUGAUGAGCCUGCACGCACUCUGGACAGACUGCCCGUGUAAGCGGGAGGAAGGUGAGGAUGACGUCAAGUCAGUAUGGCCUUUAUGCCCUGGGCUGCACACGUGCUACAAUGGCCGGUACAGUGGGAUGCCAAGCCGUGAGGCGGAGCGGAUCCCCAAAACCGGCCCCAGUUCGGAUUGAAGUCUGCAAUUCGACUUCAUGAAGUUGGAUUCGCUAGUAAUGGCGCAUCAGCUACGGCGCCGUGAAUACGUUCCCGGGCCUUGUACACACCGCCCGUCACACCACGAAAGCUCUUUGCACCCGAAGUCGGCAAUCCAAUCUUGAUUCACGUCGAGAAGGUAGCCGCCGAAGGUAUGGGGAGUGAUUGGGAUGAAGUCGGAACAAGGUA